AGCUUCUUUCUAAAUGUGAUCCCCAACAGACCCCACUGUCAAGGAGGAAGAAACAACAAACGCUAUUUGUGAAUCCAUCUCUGUUCUUGGCAAUAGAGAUCAAUAUGGAGGGAAAUUUAGGAAGCUGUGUCUCAGUUCGUAAGGAGCAGGCAAUCUGGGUGGGAAGGACAAAGCACUCGGUCUUCAGAGACUGAUUAUGUUGAAAAUCAUACUCUAUGUGUCCACGGGAGUGGUACCCACACUAAGCACAACAGAAUGAAAAAAGAAUGAAUUUCAGGAGCCUGGAGAACAUUUCUUCAUUUCGAUCCAUUACAACACUUCAGUGGAGCUUCUCUUAUAAUCUGACUUGGCUACUGGGACACAUGACAAUGUCCAGAGUUUCAGGAAGCACACGAAGACUCAACAGCCCUCCCAAAGUGCAAUAGAAAAGAUGCCCUGAAGGCAAGACACUCAUCAAAGACUCCAACUUGUGAAUACGAAAGCUUUCUAGAGAGGAGAAAGCCUGAACUG
rnacentral:lncRNA from 1 species